UGCAUUUGGCGCAGGAUUUCUGUAGAAAGAGCGGUGAUGCUGUGGCACAGCUGCCCGGCAAAGUGAUGGGGUCAUCAUCACUGGGGGUGUUUGAGAACCGUGGAGAUGUGGCACUGUGCUCUGUUCUGCACCUCCUGAUUCACACCACUGCCUCUGCAUAAUGCACAUAAAAACCCACCAGCAACAACGCGCCAACCCGUCAGAAACUGGGCUUGUCAGCACCAGUGCAAGGAUGGAUUGUUUCCUUCAUUCCAACUGUGCCCGGGGCAUCGUCAUUCCUAGAGGAACGUGUUGGCUGUCGCAUGGACGGGGCAGACAGUGCUGCGAUGUAAUGCUAUCCCAGUGCUCAUGUAACUGGGCUUCUGCCUGGCGUCCUGGAGACAGGAGAGGAAGGAGGGCAGCCCUGAUGGGUAUCUGGCUUGUAUCAUUCAUAGAGACACCUUGGCCAUGAGGUGGGCAGAGCACUGUCACACACACAGUCUUGGAACAGGUCCUGUAGAAAACACAUGGAGAUGCCCUCAUCCACGGGCAUGGAUGAGCAAACGCUGAGGUCAGAACUGUCCCCGUUCUCUGGGUGGUGGCCCUGGGAUGUGUGGCAAAACCACGGUGCAGAGCGCUCAUGGUGCAACCGUGGUGCAUGCUUACAAUCACAUCGUUGGUGUUCCAGGGACGGCUGCAGCCCCUCCAUCUACAGGAGCAGCAUUUCUGCCCAUGCCUUCUGCCCAUGCUGCUUUGCCCCCUGGCCUUUGGAUUCCAGGUGCCCACACAGCACAGCUUUGGAGGGCUCAGGAUGCUGUUUCUCCGUGGAUUCAUCACCCCGAAGCCCCUUCUGAUGGAUCUGCUGGAGGAAAUUGCAGGUGUUCCUUCACAAUCAGCCCAGCACUGCUGCUCUGUGGAUGUUACGAAUGCACUGCAGUUGGGUUUGGAGAAUAAAGGCCCCUCUCUGCUUUCCCGAAAGAGCAAACGUGGGAGUCUGAGGAGAAGGCGUUUGCAGAGGAGAAAAGAGUGCUGUGCAGGAGUGCAGGAUGGGUACACUGAGUCGUUCUUACGAAAAACUAAAUCCAGGCACUGCAGUGAAUGAAGCUCCAGUGGACCUUCCAGCUUUUCAUUAUAACACAGCAACGAGCAAUUUACGCCUAUUUAGAAUGAGGGGGCAAACUGCAGAAGGGCUCAGCACAACGUCUCCAGGGAGCCAGAGUGGAAGGAGAAACUCACCCUCCCAAAGCACCCUCCACUUGCGAGGCACGUGUUCUGAUGUGGUUUUCCUUUUCCUAUUAUUUAGCCCUAAAAUAGAAGGGUUGGUCUGUAGGAAGCCUCUGCCCGGCGCCCCGCAUGGAUUACCAGAUUCAUAGCAGGGCUGCAGGAAUCGGCUUUUCUGGGAAACUCGGGAUUUCUGACUGUUUCCACUUCUUGGUGGAAUGAAAAGAAAAAGCUGCUCGCAAUUUUCCAUGGAGGUCACUCGGGAACAAAGGAAAGACUUCUGUUUGAUCUGUACCUCGGAGAGGCUCGUUUCCAUACAGGGCGCUUUAUAUAACAACAUGCCCUUGUUUGCUGAAUGCAGCCCCAACGUGCAAGAUGGAAAAUUUCACUGCAAAACAGAGGUCCAGCCUUUCUGUUCUGAAAUCUUUCAUAUGCACAGAAGAAUAAAAAACCAACCAAGCAAAAAACAACGCUGUAACGUGGGGGCAUCUCUGCAAUAAAUGAGGUGGAAAUCCAUCCUCUCUGCGUGCCCAGGGUCUCAUGGCAGCUGUGUUUCUGCAAGGUUUGCGCAGGGUCCCUUUAGCUGCUCCCUGAGCUCAGGCUGCACACCUCCUCCUGCUGCCUCGGGGAGGUUAUAUAAAGAGGAGAAGAUGUGUGUAAACAAGGCUUGCUUAAGUAACUCUCUGGCUGCUGAUUUCUCCCGCUGUCUCCUUUUCUUACUCCACCCCUCCCUGAGCUGGAUGGACACGAUGGGCACUCGGCACGUCUCUGUCCACGCUCUGCUCCCUGCCAUCCAAGGGCACAUCCAAGGUUGAACCUUGCAGAAGUUUAGAGCAGAUUCGGUGGUAAAACACUGCAGUGGAGUCAGAUUUGGUGUCCAG
ensembl:lncRNA